rnacentral:rRNA from 1 species
GGAUCCGAGCGUUAUCCGGAAUUAUUGGGUUUAAAGGGUUCGUAGGCGGCUUUGUAAGUCAGUGGUGAAAUUUCCUAGCUUAACUAGGACACUGCCAUUGAUACUGCAGAGCUUGAAUAAUAUGGAAGUAACUAGAAUAUGUAGUGUAGCGGUGAAAUGCUUAGAUAUUACAUGGAAUACCAAUUGCGAAGGCAGGUUACUACGUAUUUAUUGACGCUGAUGAACGAAAGCGUGGGGAGCGAACAGGAUUAGAUACCCUGGUAGUCCACGCCGUAAACGAUGGAUACUAGCUGUUCGGAUUUCGGUCUGAGUGGCUAAGCGAAAGUGAUAAGUAUCCCACCUGGGGAGUACGUUCGCAAGAAUGAAACUCAAAGGAAUUGACGGGGGCCCGCACAAGCGGUGGAGCAUGUGGUUUAAUUCGAUGAUACGCGAGGAACCUUACCAGGGCUUAAAUGUAGAUUGACAGAUUUGGAAACAGAUUUUUCUUCGGACAAUUUACAAGGUGCUGCAUGGUUGUCGUCAGCUCGUGCCGUGAGGUGUCAGGUUAAGUCCUAUAACGAGCGCAACCCCUAUUGUUAGUUACCAGCGCGUAGUGGCGGGGACUCUAGCAAGACUGCCGGUGCAAACCGUGAGGAAGGUGGGGAUGACGUCAAAUCAUCACGGCCCUUACGUCCUGGGCUACACACGUGCUACAAUGGCAAGUACAGAAAGCAGCUACCUGGCAACAGGAUGCGAAUCUCCAAAGCUUGUCUCAGUUCGGAUUGGAGUCUGCAACUCGACUCUAUGAAGCUGGAAUCGCUAGUAAUCGGAUAUCAGCCAUGAUCCGGUGAAUACGUUCCCGGGCCUUGUACACACCGCCCGUCAAGCCAUGGAAGCUGGGGGUACCUGAAGUCGGUGACCGCAAGGAGC